rnacentral:rRNA from 1 species
AACGAACGCUGGCGGCAUGCCUAACACAUGCAAGUCGAACGAGACCUUCGGGUCUAGUGGCGCACGGGUGCGUAACGCGUGGGAACCUGCCCUUAGGUUCGGAAUAACUCCCCGAAAGGGGUGCUAAUACCGGAUAAUGUCUUCGGACCAAAGAUUUAUCGCCUUUGGAUGGGCCCGCGUUGGAUUAGCUAGUUGGUAGGGUAAAAGCCUACCAAGGCGGCGAUCCAUAGCUGGUCUGAGAGGAUGAUCAGCCACACUGGGACUGGGACACGGCCCAGACUCCUAGGGGAGGCAGCAGUGGGGAAUAAUGGACAAUGGGCGAAAGCCUGAUCCAGCAAGGCCGCGAGAGUGAUGAAGGCCUUAGGGUUGUAAAGCUCUUUUACCCGGGAUGAUAAUGACAGUACCGGGAGAAUAAGCUCCGGCUAACUCCGU